rnacentral:rRNA from 1 species
UACGUAGGGUGCAAGCGUUGUCCGGAAUCAUUGGGCGUAAAGAGCGCGUAGGCGGUCCGGUAAGUCCGCUCUGAAAGUCCGGGGCUCAACCCCGGGAGGCGGGCGGAUACUGUCGGGCUAGAGUCCGGAAGAGGCGAGUGGAAUUCCUGGUGUAGCGGUGAAAUGCGCAGAUAUCAGGAGGAACACCAAUGGCGAAGGCAGCUCGCUGGGACGGUACUGACGCUGAGGCGCGAAAGCGUGGGGAGCAAACAGG